rnacentral:rRNA from 1 species
UGCGUAGGCGGGUCUUUAAGUCAGGGGUGAAAUCCUGGAGCUCAACUCCAGAACUGCCUUUGAUACUGAGGAUCUUGAGUUCGGGAGAGGUGAGUGGAACUGCGAGUGUAGAGGUGAAAUUCGUAGAUAUUCGCAAGAACACCAGUGGCGAAGGCGGCUCACUGGCCCGAUACUGACGCUGAGGCAAAGCGUGGGGGAGCAAACA